AACUGGCCCUACAAAGUCCCAGU
rnacentral:miRNA from 1 species